rnacentral:rRNA from 1 species
UAAUACGAAGGGUGCAAGCGUUACUCGGAAUUACUGGGCGUAAAGCGUGCGUAGGUGGUUUGUUAAGUCUGAUGUGAAAGCCCUGGGCUCAACCUGGGAAUGGCAUUGGAAACUGGCAGUCUAGAGUGCGGUAGAGGGUAGCGGAAUUCCCGGUGUAGCAGUGAAAUGCGUAGAUAUCGGGAGGAACAUCCGUGGCGAAGGCGGCUACCUGGACCAGCACUGACACUGAGGCACGAAAGCGUGGGGAGCAAACAGGAUUAGAUACCCUGGUAGUCCACGCCCUAAACGAUGCGAACUGGAUGUUGGGGACACUUAGGUCUUCAGUAUCGAAGCUAACGCGUUAAGUUCGCCGCCUGGGAAGUACGGUCGCAAGACUG